CCUACGGGUGGCUGCAGUGAGGAAUAUUGGUCAAUGGCCGAGAGCCUGAACCAGCCAAGUAGCGUGAAGGAAGACUGCCCUACGGGUUGUAAACCUCUUUUAUCGGGGAGCAAAGCGAGUCACGUGUGACUUAUUGAGUGUACCCGAUGAAUAAGCAUCGGCUAACUCCGUGCCAGCAGCCGCGGUAAUACGGAGGAUGCGAGCGUUAUCCGGAUUUAUUGGGUUUAAAGGGUGCGAAGGGGGUUGUGCAAGUCAGCGGUAAAAUUGGGGGGCUCAACCCCGUAUUGCCGUUGAAACUGGGUGCCUUGAGUGCACGAGAGGUAGGCGGAAUGCGUGGUGUAGCGGUGAAAUGCAUAGAUAUCACGAAGAACUCCGAUUGCGAAGGCAGCUUACCGGCGUGCCACUGACGCUGAUGCACGAAAGCGUGGGUAUCGAACAGGAUUAGAUACCCCGGUAGUC
rnacentral:rRNA from 1 species